UCGUAAUCCAGAUGGGAAUGGAAGGUUGCAGGUAUCCGCGAAGUAUUAUGAAGCGCUUCAAUGGGAAGCUGGAACUGCU
rnacentral:sRNA from 1 species